UACCAGCACCCCGAGUGGUCGGGACGAUUAUUGGGCCUAAAGCAUCCGUAGCCGGUCAUGCAAGUCCUCCGUUAAAUCCACCUGCUUAACAGAUGGGCUGCGGAGGAUACUACAAGGCUAGGAGGCGGAAGAGGCAAGCGGUACUCAGUGGGUAGGGGUAAAAUCCUCUGAUCCAUUGAAGACCACCAGUGGCGAAGGCGGCUUGCCCAAUACGCGCUCGACGGUGAGGGAUGAAAGCUGGGGGAGCAACCGG
rnacentral:rRNA from 1 species